rnacentral:rRNA from 1 species
GACGAACGCUGGCGGCGUGCUUAACACAUGCAAGUCGAACGGAAAGGCCCUGCUUUUGUGGGGUGCUCGAGUGGCGAACGGGUGAGUAACACGUGAGUAACCUGCCCUUGACUUUGGUAUAACUUCAGGAAACUUGGGCUAAUACCGGAUAGGAGCUCCUGCUGCAUGGUGGGGGUUGGAAAGUUUCGGCGGUUGGGGAUGGACUCGCGGCUUAUCAGCUUGUUGGUGGGGUAGUGGCUUACCAAGGCUUUGACGGGUAGCCGGCCUGAGAGGGUGACCGGCCACAUUGGGACUGAGAUACGGCCCAGACUCCUACGGGAGGCAGCAGUGGGGAAUAGUGCACAAUGGGCGGAAGCCUGAUGCAGCAACGCCGCGUGCGGGAUGACGGCCUUCGGGUUGUAAACCGCUUUCGCCUGUGACGAAGCGUGAGUGACGGUAAUGGGUAAAGAAGCACCGGCUAACUACGUG